ACAGAACAAUAGAAUAACAGAGAUGGAAGAUAUCUUAUAGGUCUUCUAGUACAAACCCCUGCUCAAGCAGGAGACCCUAUACUACUGCAGACAAAUGGU